rnacentral:rRNA from 1 species
UUGGACAAUGGGCGAAAGCCUGAUCCAUCCAUGCCGCGUGAGUGAAGAAGGCCUUCGGGUUGUAAAGCUCUUUUAGUCGGAAAGAAAGAGUUGCAAUGAAUAAUUGUGAUUUAUGACGGUACCGACAGAAAAAGCCCCGGCUAACUACGUGCCAGCAGCCGCGGUAAUACGUAGGGGGCAAGCGUUGUCCGGAUUAACUGGGGGUAAAGGGCGCGCAGGCGGAAUGGAAAGUCAGUGGUGAAAUCCUACAGCUUAACUGUAGAACUGCCUUUGAUACGUUCAUUCUUGAGAUCGGGAGAGAGAGACGGAAUUCCAGGUGUAGUGGUGAAAUACGUAGAUAUCUGGAAGAACACCAGGUGCGAAGGCGGUCUCUUGGUCCGAUACUGACGCUGAGGCGCGAAAGCGUG